GACGAACGCUGGCGGCGUGCUUAACACAUGCAAGUCGAACGGAAAGGCCCUGCUUUUGUGGGGUGCUCGAGUGGCGAACGGGUGAGUAACACGUGAGUAACCUGCCCUUGACUUUGGGAUAACUUCAGGAAACUGGGGCUAAUACCGGAUAGGAGCUCCUGCUGCAUGGUGGGGUUUGGAAAGUUUCGGCGGUUGGGGAUGGACUCGCGGCUUAUCAGCUUGUUGGUGGGGUAGUGGCUUACCAAGGCUUUGACGGGUAGCCGGCCUGAGAGGGUGACCGGCCACAUUGGGACUGAGAGACGGCCCAGACUCCUACGGGAGGCAGCAGUGGGGAAUAUGGCACAAUGGGCGGAAGCCUGAUGCAGCAACGCCGCGUGCGGGAUGACGGCCUUCGGGUUGUAAACCGCUUUCGCCUGUGACGAAGCGUGAGUGACGGUAAUGGGUAAAGAAGCACCGGCUAACUACGUG
rnacentral:rRNA from 1 species